GACGAACGCUGGCGGCGUGCUUAACACAUGCAAGUCGAACGUGAUUUUUGUGGAAAUUCUUUCGGGAAUGGAAAUGAAAUGAAAGUGGCGAACGGGUGAGUAACACGUGAGCAACCUACCUUACACAGGGGGAUAGCCGUUGGAAACGACGAUUAAUACCGCAUGAGACCACAGAAUCGCAUGAUAUAGGGGUCAAAGAUUUAUCGGUGUAAGAAGGGCUCGCGUCUGAUUAGCUAGUUGGAAGGGUAAAGGCCUACCAAGGCGACGAUCAGUAGCCGGUCUGAGAGGAUGAACGGCCACAUUGGAACUGAGACUCGGUCCAAACUCCUACGGGAGGCAGCAGUGGGGAAUAUUGCACAAUGGGGGGAACCCUGAUGCAGCGACGCCGCGUGAGCGAAGAAGGUUUUCGAAUCGUAAAGCUCUGUCCUAUGAGAAGAUAAUGACGGUAUCAUAGGAGGAAGCCCCGGCUAAAUACGUG
rnacentral:rRNA from 1 species